rnacentral:lncRNA from 1 species
UUUUUUAAGAUUCCAUACACAUCAAAAUGCACAAUAAAACUCAGUUUCAAACUUCAAAAUUUAAUCAAACUGAUUGUGAGAUUAUGUCUUCAACAUAUGAAAAUCAACCACAAUCCCUCCCGUUCGGGGUUUAGUAUCAUGCCAUCAUAAAUUAUACGAGAAGUACAUAACCCGUAUUUUGCUUUCACUAGACCAUCCAUUGUAGAUUUUGCAUGAUCGCCAUGGUCAUACUUUAUUCACUUAGUUCUCAUUUUCCAAAUCCUUCCAUAUCCGUUUUUUAUUUUUUUCAUUUUCUCUGAUUUUGAGUCUGAAAUAGAAAAAAAAUGUGUAUGUUACAAUCAUAACCAAAAACAUCUUCUUCAAAGUUAUUUCUCUAAUUCGAUGCAUUCGUUCUGUUUUUAUUUCGGCUUAUACUGCAGAUCGCAAUUCUUCUAUGCUAACAUGUGUAUAUACUAGAUUCUAGACGGGCAUUACUCUAUAAUAUACGGGCUCGAUUGUAAAUUGCCCUGAUACAUUACCUCACAUCUUAGAGAAAUUACUUUGAAAUUUUAUCGACACCUAAAUGUACAUGAACACGUUACAUGUGCGUUCUUUUCUGGAAUACCUUAGAUAUCCCGG